rnacentral:rRNA from 1 species
ACCUGGUUGAUCCUGCCAGUAGUCAUAUGCUUGUCUCAAAGAUUAAGCCAUGCAUGUCUAAGUACAAGCCUCACUAAGGUGAAACCGCGAAUGGCUCAUUAAAUCACACCUAAUCUACUGGAUAGAAAAAAGUUACUUGGAUAACUGCGGUAAUUCUGGAGCUAAUACAUGCACAAAGCCUCAACCUUACGGGAGAGGCGCUUUUAUUAGAUCAAAACCAAACGGCUUCGGCUGUACUCUUGGUGACUCUGAAUAACUUUGGGCUGAUCGCAUAGCCUUGAGUUGGCGACAUAUCCUUCGAAGGUGUGCCCUAUCAACUGUCGACUGUGGCAUAGACGCCCACAGUGGUUUUGACGGGUAACGGGGAAUCAGGGUUCGAUUCCGGAGAGGGAGCCUUAAAACGGCUACCACAUCUAAGGAANGCAGCAGGCACGCAAAUUACCCAAUGAACCGAAAGGUCGAGGUAGUGACCAAAAAU